UGCUACAUCGCAAAACAAUUUCACACUUGUUACAUUAGUUGAAGGAGGAAUUGAAAAUGUUUAACUAUUAAAUACAGUUAUUUAUUGCAAUACCUAAAGAUGAAAUUAUUUUAAAUGAACAUAUCCAACAUGCAGCGAGAAACAAUGGAUUUUAAACUGACUUGGCCGUUUCUGUUCGUGUUGUCGUGUAAAGGGCCCUAAAUAUGUUUUUAAUCAAUCCUUUCCAAAAUAUAUUUUAUGCGGAUACUAUAAAUGCGGACACUAUACGUUUGAUUUCAAGCAUUAGUUUCACCAUAUAUCGCAAUACUACGAUAUUGUUAACCUAGGAUGUUUCAUCUACACCACACAAUGUCUUCCUCACUUUGGUUCAGGACGAGCUGCUGAAAAAAGACCCACCCGUUUCCCGAAAGAGGUCACUUAAGGAAUUCUCUACCCCCACGCCGCCCUUUCCAAAUCAUAUCAACAUAUAAUCCUUGUCGUUAGAAACCCUCCUCCCUUGUCUCUCGCGACAGCAGAUGCCCGCUUGCGCUCUGGCGCAAAUAUUUUUUCCAAUUCAAUGCAGCAAUGAAUUGUACGAGUUCUCUCUCCAUCCCCGCGACUCCAGGGUUAGCAACAAUCGUCGCCAAUCUCCGCUGAAAUUUAGUCAGAAAGCAGGUUUAAUCGCAAGUGAAGUGAUGGUAUCAUCGUCUCCCUCCAGCAUCAUCUCACUCUCGGAGUUCUGGCUGCUCACUGCUGGAGUCCGAAUGGACUGCCGGCCUUUAACUAGCGCAUCAUCUUCAGAACCUGCCAACACACAUAGCAGAGAACGGUGAGAAACCAAGCAAGUCGGGCCCAAAAAAGAUCGCAGUUAUGUGUAAAACACCGCUUAUACACGUUUGGUUCAAUAUUUAUUUUCCAUCUUUUGUUAUCAAAUGGUAAUUUCAAUUUCAAACCACAUACGUAUUGCUAUUGGAAGUUGCGCGUGUUUUAUGCGUUUUUCCAGUUAAUACUAUUUGAGGUAAAAUAUAAAUCGGAUCGCAUUAGAUUUCAUUUUGUCCUCAUUGUGGUGUUUUCCACCGGAUUUAUAACGCCUUCAUGAAAUAUCGGAUCACAAGUUGUACAGAUAAAAUCUGGUCACUGUAGAAAAACAUUUUUUAAAGAGAACGGUUACAAAACAUUUUCUUCAAUUAAAUCACAUUUCUUACACCCUGCGAAGCCUAACGGGCGUUGUUUUAAAAUCUACAGGAGAAUCACUCGCAAAUAAAAACACCAGGGCAAGAGAAAAUGCGCAACAAUCAUUUCAUGCACGUAGAAGUAAAACAUUUCCUAUUUUUAAUAUCUUAACUGUAAUUAUUCUUUCCAGGUAAUAUUUAAUAAGAACGACCAAAGUCAAAAUAUUAUAAAGUGUGUUCGUUUCCCAAGCUGCCCUGCAUCACGAACUUCACAGAAACUAGUUACCAUAAACCAGAGGAUCCCUUUCGCAGUUAUUUAAAACUCGAAUAUGUUUUCACCAUUAAAAAAAAAAAUUACGUUAAUACUCUUUUAUUUUCCAAUUUCAUAAGAAAAAUAAUUCAAAAACGAUUUAACGUUACGGAGAUAAGGGCGAAAUGAAUCGUGGAGCAAUCCUUCGAAGUUUAUUACUCUUUUGGCAAAAUCUUAAAGAAAUCCUCUGAUCAACUUCAGACCGUACUGAUUAAAGUGGCACAACUCAGAAAGACAUGCCGAAUAAUGCAAGGUCACUCAUUUACGCUUCCAUAGUAAUGCGCGACAUCGAUAGUUUUUACGAAAUCUUCGAUAAACUUCAAUGAAACCCUCUCCGAGACAAAUGAUUUCAUGUAGCUCAAAAUGCUAUCGUAGGUAAAGUUGUAGUCCGCCACGUCUAAAAUAGGAAACCUGUUUUCCUGGUUGUAGUACAAAACUCAACGUCUAAUUAAUACAUUAAAUACAAUACGUAUUUAUCUUUGUAUUUGUAUAUUACAUAAUUCAUUAUUGUCAUCUACAAAACUGGUUUGAAGGCAAGCUUGAAACUUUCAGUUUUAUUAAAUGCCAAGUAAAAAUGUGUUUAAGAAGUAUUUGGAUUGCUCACAAAUUCUAACUGAAUAAUUCAUAAACAUAAAUGAAAAUGUGCUGCUAAACAUUGACAUCAAUAUCACAAUGCUAAUUACUGACAGAGCUGACUGUGUGCAAGCCUUCUGGCCUUCAAAUUCCAACAAGUUCUGAAAAUGUGCUAAACAGUUUGCCAGAAAGACUUCAGAAGCUAUUUAAGUGUCUGAAUUAUGUGCCAAAUUGGGGGGUUAAAUACGUUUUUAAAAAAGAGCUGACAUUUUCAUAAAAUACACUAUCAUUGUUUGGUUACUUUGCACAAGCACAAUAUUUCAGAAUACAUUAGUGCACCUUAAUGCAUGAAUGAAAAGGAUAAAACCCCAGGUAACUAGAUCACAUUUCUCCACUCUACCUUCUCUUUUACCUCAUGCCAUUCUCAUUCUUUGGAACUUAUUUUUUACAAUUCUAAAAAUCCCCGCAAGUGUAACUUUCAGGAGGCAUUAAAAUAAUCACACAAAUUCACAGCAGAUCCCAAAAUUAUUUAAAAAAUAAAAUCUGAUUUUGAUCAUCAAAUUUAUGUAAAUGUCUGUUCUCCAAUAUGAGCUCUUGGUGGAGCAGGGACAGUCCUUACAGCAAUACAAGUCUUCAGGACUCAGAUGUUUGCCUGUCUUACACUAGGUAAUGCAUUAUUUGUUAAUGCUCAAGCAAAUUUACCAUUAUUAUCAUUAUGAGGUUGCCAAAUAUUUAUUUAAAAAAUAUUAUAUGCUGAGCGUAGUUAUAUAAAAUUUUAAUAUUGCUGGUAAAUUUAAUCAUAUGAUCUCCAAAUUUUAAAAAUCACUGGAAAUGUCAUUAACUAUAAUUGACUUGAUGCCCAAAAGGUGGGAUUUCUCAAAUUAUGUGAAACCACGUUGCAAGACGAAUUGCCUCUAAGGUCAGCUCUUGUGCAACAAUGUAAAACAGUUCAGCAGAAGAUGCAAUACUAUGUCCCAUUAUGAUCCAGCUCUAAGUAUAUUACCUGAUACCAAUAAUACAAAUCUAUCACACUUCAAUUAUUCUUUGUGAAUAAACAAUUUUAUUAUA